rnacentral:rRNA from 1 species
GAUGAACGCUGGCGGCGUGCCUAAUACAUGCCAGUCGAGCGGACGGACGAGACUCUUGCUUUUCUGAUGUUAGGGGCGGACGGGUGAGUCACACGUGGAUACCCUACCUAUAAGACUGGGAUAACUUCGGGAAACCGGAUCUAACACCGGAUAAUAUUUUGAACCGCGUGGUUCAAAGGUGAAAGACGGUCUUGCUGUCACUUAUAGAUGGUUCCGGGCUGGAUUAGCUAGUUGGUAGGGUAACGGCUUACCAAGGCAACGAUGCAUAGCCGACCCGAGAGGCUGAUCGGCCACACUGGAACUGAGACACGGUCCAGACUCCUACGGGAGGCAGCAGUAGGGAAUCUUCGGCAAUGGGCGAAAGCCUGACACAGCAACGCCGCGUGAGUGAUGAAGGUCUUCGGAUCGUAAAACUCUGUUAUUAGGGAAGAACAGAUGUGUGAGUAACUGUGCACAUCUUGACGGUACCUAAUGAGAAAGCAACGGCUAACUACGUG